GACAGCCCAUCUCAUUCCCAUCACUGUUAUCCCACCAGCUUCCCUGGGAGUUCAACACUGCAUUUGGCCUGGUCUGCCUGUCUUUCUGAGCUGCAACAUCACCAUCCACAACAAUUCAGAAGUCUGUAGAACUGGAGCAUAACAGAGAAAGACAGGACAAGCUGAGAAGAACCAACUGAAAGGAAAAUCUUCAAGUUUGUGGCUAUCAGAGCAAAAGGCAAAAAGCAUUUGCCACCAUUAAUUGGAGCACCUCCUUCCUGCAUCUUAACCAAAAAGUGCUGGCAAAGAAGAAUCAUUAUUACGAGCGGUGUCAGACAUGUGGUGGCCAAUUCAAGCCAUGAAUUGCUUGCCUCAGGCCUGGCAGGUGGAAAAUACCAGCAAGUAAAAGAUGGCAGCAAACACGUUAAAAAUGGUGCCACACCAAAAAUCAAGACAUAAAAACAGCUGGGAAACAGUUCACAGUCAAAACUGCACACAUCCAGAGGUGCCCUACAUCUUGGCAAGCAUAUCUUUCAGUCAGGGAGCUCCUACUUCAGGGCACAGGUACUCUGUUAGCCACAAAGUGACUUCCAAGUCUGGGCUGUAAUGUACCCCAAAUGUAGUACAGAAAUGGAAUUUUGCUACCAGAAAAUGUUUAGGGGGGCCUGGGGUGGUUUAUCAAGAAACACCAGGGAGCUGCACCCACAGAGUGAACUUCACGAGAAUGCAAUUCCAACAAGGAGUGUGCUUUUCACCCCGUUUCCUGAUCCCUAGAGGAACAACUGCGGAAAGCAGGAGCCUUUGCAGCAAGCCUGACCCUGUGUCGCAAGAGAUGGAGCCACCUGCGUGUAUGUGUGUGCGUG